GCGCGCCCUCGCACCUCGGCCUCCGCGCGGCCAGGAAAUUUCCAGGCCACUCGGCGCAACCCGAGACACUCGGACUCUGGAUUUUUGUUCUUAUUUUUAACCGAGCCCCCUCGAGUGACGUCGCGGGCCGGUCUCCUGGACACGUGCCUCGGUCCAAUGGUCGUAGCGCCGCGCGCCCACGUGACCGGCUCGGUGACAGCAGCCUCCUGCCGCCCCGCCCCCCCUUAAAGGGGCCGCGUCCCUGCGCUCCGGGUACGGAGCCUGGACCCGCGAGACCGCCGCCGCGUCCUCUGCCCGCGCGCGUGCGCGCGCGCGUUUUCCCCGCGGCUUCUCGGCGCUCUGAGAAACGCGCGCGACAGCCUCGCCGGGUCGCCCAGACGCGGACGGGGACAACCGCUGGAAGGGUGCUUUUUUUUUUUUUUUUAACAUUUCCAUAUUGUUUACCGUGGGGGGGAAAAAUCCCACAAUUCCUUGCACAAAAUGCAUAAAUAACAUUAAAUGAGCUGCCGAGAUACAAAGGGACUUCUGGAAGUCCGCCUCGCUGGAGAGGGGAACUGCCACUUACAUUUGACUUUGGUAGCCUGGGCAGCUUCCCGUGUUUAACGCAGAGCCGACGCGCAGGCCCCUCUUCCUGCAGACAGUCACUAGCGGCCGCCCCGCAGCGGGAAGCUUCUCCGCGUGACCAGGCGACCCGGCGCUGGACAUCUGCUUCUCCCCAACCUGGUGAGGCCGCGAUCGGCCCGGGAUCUCCGAUCCUAUCUCCUCCUGCCAGGCCCAGAAGACUGCCGGCAAACCGCCGCCCCCCGCCCCGCCCCCGCCGCCGCCCCCGCCGCUUCGGGAGAACCGGCCCCCUGCCCUCCCCAGGCUCGCGGCACAAAGGCGGACCUCGGAGCACAUCAAGGGGAGACGCAGCUCCCGACCCGGUAUGUCCCCAGCUCCGACGCGAGUCCGACGAAAUCUGCGGCCGCAGCAGAUCCUGGGGACGCUGGCUGCAGAUCGGAGCCUCCCAGUUUUUUCUUAAAACGACACCAGAGGAGGCUGACUUUUCCGGCCUCUGUCCUGUCCCCUCACUCCCCAUACUGCUCUGGGUGGGCGUGGGGACACUGAAAAAA
rnacentral:lncRNA from 1 species